rnacentral:rRNA from 1 species
UACGGGGGGGGCAAGCGUUGUUCGGAAUUACUGGGCGUAAAGGGCUCGUAGGUGGUCACUUAAGUCAUACGUGAAAUCCCUCGGCUUAACCGGGGAACUGCGCCUGAUACUGGUUGACUUGAGUUUGGGAGAGGGACGCGGAAUUCCAGGUGUAGCGGUGAAAUGCGUAGAUAUCUGGAGGAACACCGGUGGCGAAGGCGGCGUCCUGGACCAAUACUGACACCGAGGAGCGAAAGCCAGGGGAGCAAACGGG